rfam:Schistosoma mattheei strain Denwood, Zambia genome assembly, scaffold: SMTD_scaffold0000481
AUCUAGCUGAAGAGUCUCGAAGAAGACGAAACGCAUGUUCUAGAU